rnacentral:rRNA from 1 species
CCUACGGGAGGCAGCAGUGAGGAAUAUUGGUCAAUGGGCGGAAGCCUGAACCAGCCAAGUAGCGUGCAGGAUGACGGCCCUACGGGUUGUAAACUGCUUUUAUACGGGAAUAACGCGCCUUACGUGUAGGGCUUUGCAUGUACCGUAUGAAUAAGGACUGGCUAAUUCCGUGCCAGCAGCCGCGGUAAUACGGAAGGUCCGGGCGUUAUCCGGAUUUAUUGGGUUUAAAGGGAGCGUAGGCCGGAUGGCAAGCGUGCUGGGAAAUGUUCGGGCUCAACCCGGGCCUUGCAGCGCGAACUGGCGUGCUUGAGUCCGCGGAAAGCAGGCGGAAUUCGUCGUGUAGCGGUGAAAUGCUUAGAUAUGACGAAGAACCCCGAUUGCGAAGGCAGCUUGCUGCAGCGGAACUGACGCUGAUGCUCGAAAGCGCGGGUAUCGAACAGGAUUAGAUACCCGGGUAGUC